rnacentral:tRNA from 1 species
GGGCCCGUAGCUCAGUUGGGAGAGCGCCGCCUUCGCAUGGCGGAGGUCACGAGUUCGAGUCUCGUCGGGUCCAC